AAUACAUGAUUUGGAUGAUAGCAGGCCAUGGAUUGUGGUGACAGAGAAGAUCAAAAGCACUUGAGCAAUUCAUGGCUUUUGGGUGAAGGUUCCACAUGAUUAUCUUUGGUUAUUUCAUUGAACUCAAAGCCAAUACAAGAGGUUUUAUGCUUAGUUGCUGUUUGGGCGUUUCCAUUAUUUGAAAAGCAUCAUUAUCACCUCUAUUGGUUGACUCUUAUUAGUGAAGGAAAGCCAGAAGAGUUGCUUAGAAAAAAAAUAAUCUCCAUAUGAAAAAAAAUUAAAAAAGUAUUGUAUAUGGGUGAGGUAUUGCAUAGGAUUGUUGUAGUUAUUGUUAUUGUUAUUGUUAUUGUCAUGUGCUAAUUUUCACUAA